UACGGAGGGAGCUAGCGUUGUUCGGAAUUACUGGGCGUAAAGCGCACGUAGGCGGCUUUGUAAGUUAGAGGUGAAAGCCCGGAGCUCAACUCCGGAAUUGCCUUUAAGACUGCAUCGCUUGAAUCCGGGAGAGGUGAGUGGAAUUCCGAGUGUAGAGGUGAAAUUCGUAGAUAUUCGGAAGAACACCGGUGGCGAAGGCGGCUCACUGGCUCGUAACUGACGCUCAUGCACGACAGCGUGGGGAUCAAACAGG
rnacentral:rRNA from 1 species